AUUUAAGAGCUGACUGCUGUGGGGAAGGAUCUCUUCUGGAGAUCCGCUCUGCUGGAGUUUCAUAAGCGAGCGCAGGAUACAGUUCUCAACACAAGAGUGCGCGAUGCAAGCUGUUUCCACAGAGCCGUGCUGCUUCUGGGCAGAAGGUAACAGCACACUGUGCCCUCUCCAGGUGGAUCUGGUGCCCAAGUAACUCAGCCUGUAAGUGUCACUUCCCUAUAACACCCAACUGUCAGAAUAUAGCUCAGUGAAUGGAGG